AGUGAACGCUGGCGGUAGGCCUAACACAUGCAAGUCGAACGGCAGCACAGUAAGUGCUUGCUCUUCCGGGGGGCGAGUGGCGGACGGGUGAGGAAAGUAUCCGAAUCUACUUUUUCGUGGGGGAUAACGUAGGGAAACUUACGCCAAUACCGCAUAUGCCCCAGGGGUGAAAGCAUGGGAUCUUCGCGGCUGUCGCGAUUGAACGCGCGGAUGUCGGAUUUGCUGGUUGGGGGGGUAAAGGCCCACCAAGGGGACGAUCGGUAGCCGGUCGGAGUGGAGGGUCAGCGACAUUGGAAGGUGGACACGGACAAGGCUACUACGGGAGGGCGCAGUGGGGAAUGUGAGGCAACGGGCGCAAGUCUGGUCCAGCGAGACCGCGUGGGUGAAGAAGGCGUCCGGGUUGUAAAGCCGUUUUGUUGGGAAAGAAAAGCAGUAGGUUAAGACGCAGCUGUUCUGACGGUACCCAAUGAAGAAGCACCGGCUAACUUCGUG
rnacentral:rRNA from 1 species